rnacentral:rRNA from 1 species
CCCUAUGGGGUGCAGCAGGCGCGAAACCUUUACAAUGCACGCAAGUGUGAUAAGGGGAUCCUAAGUGCUUAUACAUUGUAUAGGCUUUUGUUAAGAGUAAAUAUCUUAGCGAAUAAGUGGUGGGUAAGACUGGUGCCAGCCGCCGCGGUAACACCAGCGCCACGAGUGGCAACCACGUUUAUUGGGCCUAAAGCGUCCGUAGCCGGUUUGGUAAAUCUUUUGUGAAAUCGACAAGCUUAACUUGUCGGCGUGCUUGAGACACUACCAAACUCGAGACCGGGAGGAGUCAGAGGUAUUCCAGGGGGAGCGGUAAAAUGUGAUAAUCCUUGGAGGACCAUCUAUGGCGAAGGCAUCUGACCAGAACGGAUCUGACGGUGAGGGACGAAGGCUAGGGGAGCGAUCCGGAUUAGAUACCCGAGUAGUCCUAGCAGUAAACGCUGUGAGCAAGAUGUUACGCAUCUCUUGAGGAUGUGUAGUGUCGAAAUGAAGAUGUUAAGCUCACCGCCUGGGAAGUACGGUCGCAAGACUGAAACUUUAAGGAAUUGGCGGGGGCGCACCACCAGGGGUGCGGCGUGCGGUUUAAUCUAACGAUACACAGAGAACCUUACUAGAAGCGACGGCAGGAAGAAGGUCAGCCUGAAGGGCUUACCCGACGAGCCGAGAAGAAGUGCAUGGCCA